AACGCACAUUGCGCCCGCCAGCAUUCUGGCGGGCAUGCCUGUUCGAGCGUCAUUUCAACCCCUCAGGCCCUGGUGCCUGGCGUCGGGGCUCUCCCUCGCGGGAGGCCCCCAGAGACAGUGGCGGACCCGCCGCGGCUCCGAGCGCAGUAGUAAAAUAUCUCGCUUAGGAGGCCCGCGGAGGAGCUUUCCGGCCGUAAAACCAGGUCUGCAAAGACCGACCCCACCAAGGUUGACCUCGGAUCAGGUAGGAAUACCCGCUGAACUUAA
rnacentral:misc_RNA from 2 species